rnacentral:rRNA from 1 species
UAAUGUCUGGGAAACUGCCUGAUGGAGGGGGAGUAACUACUGGAAACGGUAGCUAAUACCGCAUAAUGUCGCAAGACCAAAGAGGGGGACCUUCGGGCCUCUUGCCAUCGGAUGUGCCCAGAUGGGAUUAGCUAGUAGGUGGGGUAACGGCUCACCUAGGCGACGAUCCCUAGCUGGUCUGAGAGGAUGACCAGCCACACUGGAACUGAGACACGGUCCAGACUCCUACGGGAGGCAGCAUG